rnacentral:rRNA from 1 species
UACGUAGGUGGCGAGCGUUGUCCGGAUUUACUGGGCGUAAAGGGAGCGUAGGCGGACUUUUAAGUGAGAUGUGAAAUACCCGGGCUCAACUUGGGUGCUGCAUUUCAAACUGGAAGUCUAGAGUGCAGGAGAGGAGAAUGGAAUUCCUAGUGUAGCGGUGAAAUGCGUAGAGAUUAGGAAGAACACCAGUGGCGAAGGCGGCUCUCUGGACUGUAACUGACGCUGAGGCACGAAAGCGUGGGGAGCAAACAGGAUUAGAUACCCCGGUAGU